ensembl:ncRNA lncRNA:CR43298 long non-coding RNA:CR43298
CAAAAAUGUUCAACCAACCCGGGAACUAACUGUCGAAUCAGUCGAAUCCGUUCAGCCACCACCUCGGGCGGCCAAAAUGGAAAGGGUUUGGCGUAGGGUUGCUGAGCGAGCCAGGAGAUGAGUUCAGUUCUGGGCAAAAUUCAAUUCCACACCAGGCAGCAUCUAAAAUCCAGAAGGAAGAAUCCAUCCCCUUUCCCCAGCCAUCGUCCGGUGAAUGUCCUUCAGUCUUUAGCCUGCAGGUCCGCCCACUUCCACUUCCUGCCGCUGAUGGGGUUAAAAUUUCUGUUGUUGGAUCUUUAGGUGUUCAUGCCAAGUU